rnacentral:rRNA from 1 species
GCAAGUCGAACGAGAAAGUCUUUGCUUGCAAAGACGAGUAAAGUGGCGCACGGGUGAGUAACGCGUGAAUAAUCUACCUUCGAAUCUGUGAACAACACACCGAAAGGUGUGCUAAUACCGGAUAAUAUCUUUUGUCCUUCGGUACAGAAGAUCAAAGAUGGCCUCUACUUGUAAGCUAUUGUUUGAAGAUGAGUUCGCGUACCAUUAGCUAGUUGGUGGGGUAAAGGCCUACCAAGGCAACGAUGGUUAGCUGGUCUGAGAGGAUGACC